UACGGAGGGGGCUAGCGUUGUUCGGAAUUACUGGGCGUAAAGCGCACGUAGGCGGCUUUGUAAGUUAGAGGUGAAAGCCUGGAGCUCAACUCCAGAAUUGCCUUUAAGACUGCAUCGCUUGAAUCCGAGAGAGGUGAGUGGAAUUCCGAGUGUAGAGGUGAAAUUCGUAGAUAUUCGGAAGAACACCAGUGGCGAAGGCGACUUACUGGACACAUAUUGACGCUGAGGUGCGAAAGCGUGGGGAGCAAACAGG
rnacentral:rRNA from 1 species